GACAGAGGUGCCGAGCGUUAGGCGGAAUCACUGGGCUUAAAGCGUGUGUAGGCGGAUGGGUAAGUACCUUGUGAAAUCCCACGGCUCAACCGUGGAACUGCUCGGUAUACUGCUCGUCUUGAGCCAACUAGGGGCGACCGGAACAAACGGUGGAGCGGUGAAAUGCGUAGAUAUCAUCAGGAACACCGGUGGCGAAAGCGGCUUACUGGGUCUCUUCUGACGCUGAGGUACGAAAGCUAGGGGAGCGAACAGG
rnacentral:rRNA from 1 species